GGCCCGCGGGUCACCGCCGCGGCGGGGCAAGAAGCGCGGUCCCCCGGCCGACCUGACCUCCGCCGAUAGUAAGGCACCGGAAGAUGAAACUGGUCUCAGCAAAGGAAGCCGCAAGCGCAAAGUAGGCAAGGAAGAUAUAGUUCGCAUACAGAAGGACGACGACCCCGACACCAACGGCGAUGAGUCGCCUACCCCGGGUCGGGACUCGUCCAAGCCAGACGCGGAAUGAGCCCUCCGCGAGCCAGGCGGUCCGCCACGCCGCGGACCGUGCGUGUCUACCGACACCUGUCGGCCGCGCCGUCAACCAGAACUUACCAGAACUGUGUACAAAUAGAUGACGCACCUGUCGGCCCGGCGGCGGCUCUGUGAUAGUGUGCGGCGACGAGUGAGCAGGGCGGCAGCCGAGCUAUCGGUCAGGUCCGACAGCCGACAGCCGACAGCCGGCAGCGGCAAGUGGCGACAGCGGCAGAAGUGACUGCGUGUUGUUAUUUAUUGAAGCGGUGGUGAACAUGUUGUUGGCUAUACUACUGAGCUUGGUGUCUUAUGGGAGGGUGCCUUUCAUACUGAUAUCGGUACAUAUGCAAUCUCAUGUGUUCAUUGUGUUGCGACUGCUUCUUCGGCUGUCCGGUGUGUGCGUAUGCGUGUAUGCACGUGCGAUGUGCCCGCUCCCAUGAUGUCCAGGCCUUUUCGGAGUUUUCCCAUGCGCCCGGUCCCGCUCGCGCGGGCCGCGGGGCCGCUGAAAGCAGGUCGCCGCUCUCGUCACCUCCGCGUCAUGCCCGCCAUGCGCACCACCGCCCCGUUUCAUCCCCCUCCCCCUCCCCCACACGCACCCUUGCGCGCCUGUCUGCGUAGCAGGCGCGCUGUGUUCUGCCAGUAGCUGACCGAUUCGACGGCGCUAACGAGACUGCUGUGAACAACGCUCGACGCCAGCUGACGGUGACGUCAUGGUGACGGCACGUCAGUCGUGGACGGAGCGCUGCGUGUCGGGCCGCGUGACGUGAGAGCUGUGACGUCAUGAUGACGUAGGCUGCAGUCAGUGUGGUCGGAGGACCUCAGGUCACGUGACUCGUUCUUUUUACGUUUCAUGGACAGUCUACGGUCGUUCUAGCGGGGGAUGACGGCUUUAAAAUAUGUGGAGGAGUUGACACGAAUAAAUGACAGCGAUGA